UACAUUCUAUAUAUAUAAACCCUUUUUUGUUCUUAGAAAAUGGAGAGUUAGAUGCAACAACAACAACUCUUUAUAUCAAAACAAAAAGGAAAAAAAUGACUAAAUGGGUCAAAACAAUCACCACUCCAUUUAGAAAAGCUAGAACUUUUUUCAAUAAUAAUCAACAAUCACCAAGAGAUUCACCAAGAGAAAAGAAGUCACAAGAAGAAGACCAAGAUAAACAUGUAGUAGAUUUGCAAGGUGAAGUAAUGGCUUGUGGAUAUGAAGAUGUUCAAGUGAUGUGGUCAAUUUUGGACAAAUCCAAAGCCAUUAGAACAUAAAUCUUUGUUCUUUUGAGUUAAAUCAAGGCACAUAUUGUACAUAUUUUAUCAUUAUCUUGUUCAUGUGGUGGCUAAAUUGACGCCCAAAAACAAGAUUUUGAAAAUUUUGAUGAUGUUCUAUACAUACCCCCCCCCCCCCC